UUUUUUUAUCAUAAAAGUAGUUAAUUAAAUCAAUUUAACUUUCAAGUUACUACAGUUAAUAUUUAUUAAAUAUUUUAAUGUUAUCUCAAUACCAAACGGAGCGAUAGAACAAUGAGGUUUUUUGUUAUAUUUUCUAAGAACAUUCAUUGUUGAUUUCACUAUAUGUGUUCAAAUAACGAAAAUCUAAACAGGAUGACGAGAUUUAAUGUCGAUAUUUCCAAGAGGUGUUAAAAUAUGCCUUAUACAAACACUAUUAAUAUAUACAUUUAUUAUUAUUAUUAUUACCACUACUACUACUAGUAAUAGUACUAUUUAGAGAGAAUGCAUGUUUGAUUACAUGUUUCAUCCCUCCCUUAGGACUCCUAAGGGAGAUAACAUGUAAAGUUGAUAUUUUUGUUCAUUUAUUAUUCUACUCUUUGGUAGAGGAUUUUAUGAUAUUUUUAAGUAGUUUGAUGCCAAAAUUCAAGAAAAGAAAAAAAAAAGAUUAAUUCUAUGUAAUAACGAAAAGAGCGCUUUCAUUUUUUCAUUUUCUUCUAAUCUCAAUAACCAAGUCAAAUCUUAAUUUAAAUUGUAAAAUAUCACUUAUUGAAUGAUUGUUUUAUCCUUAUGUUUACAAUUAAUUCUGCUAUCUCUAAAUAGGAGUGGUGAAACAAGUAAUUAAAAAUCUAGUAGGGAUAGAAGUGAUAAAUAUUAUUUCUAUCAAGGAUGAAAAAUGCAUUCUCAUCACUUUUCACCAUGUGAUGAGAAUUUAAGACGAAUGUUAUAAGACCUGUGAGAUUAAAUGGUGAAAAGUUAUUAUUUCUACAAUAAUGUUAGAGAUUCUAAUAUUUAGAUCAUGUGCCACUCAUUUAUUUAACGAUGGAUUUUAUAACUUAUAGAAUUAUUUAAACACCAUUCAAUGAAUGAAUAUCACAUAAAUUGGGACUCAAAUUAACACUUCAAUGUUGAAACACUUAGCAUUAUAUUUUCUUUCUACAUCGAUGUUAUGGGAAGCGUUUCACCCCCCAACUGGUCUACUCAUUUGUUAAAGACACUCAGAUUUUCAAUCUCUGUGUUCUCGAUAUCCACCGAGCUGUCAUUUAUGACCAAAUUACUAUAGAAUUUGGGGUGUUUGUACCGAAAAGUUAUUUGGGGUAUGACAAAAAACUUCGAAGAUUAAAAAUAGGAAAGUUGAAAACUUAUUAAGGUUUGUUAACAAUGGUAUGGAUUUCUACAGCUACGUGUUUUAGGCUGCCGGUCUCUUUCACAACUAACGUGGAAUAACUUUAACAUUACGGCAUAAUUAAUGAACUAAAAAAAAAAAAGAUUUAUGAGCAAUGAGAAUAUAACGAGUAGAUGACGAUGAGAAAAUGUUAAAACCUAAAAAUGUGACGAUAAAAGCGUAAAAAAGGACAUGACACACAUUAAUUAGAAGUGGGUGAAUGUGACAGAGAAAUAUCAAAUGUUAAUGAAUAUGUGUAAAGAUUGUAUCGUACAAAGUCAUAAAUUUCAUAAACGAUGUCUUGAAAUAAUCGAUCCCACAUGAUGUAUAUCAUCUGUUCGUUUUCUGUUUUUUGUCACUUUUUUUUAAUAUCCAUUGUCAGCAGUAACCUGCUCAAUGUUUAUGCAUUGAGUUGAAGCAAAACUGAGGUAGUAACACAUAGUUUAUGCAUACAUGUAGUUGUUCAUUUAAGGCUAGUGCGUGGAUUGAAGAUCUAAGUUUCAAAAUCCAUACAAAAAUUAAAAGAAGUUAAUUAAUUUGCUUGCUCACCCCCUAAGAAAUCACAUCAUGAAUUGAAGCCAACAUCUAGUAGUUCCUUAAGAAAGAAGAACAAUAAUCAUGAUUCAUCAAUUAUGCAAAAGGAAAAUUUCGGUCUACCCUCUCGUGAAGUGACAGUUUUCAAAUCAUCCAUUUGCUAUUGAAAAUAUCAAGUUACCCUCCAAAACUUGUUAUCUCUCUGUUGUUUUUAACGGUUAAAAGGAUAAAAUAGUAUUUGCACAUUUUCAUAACAGUUAAUUAACAAAAAAAUGUCAAACCUAGGUAGAUUAGUUUUCAUGGAUCUAAAUCUUUCUAAAUUUUUUAAAACACACAUAAAUAUUUCAAAUAUUUAUAGUGUACUCCCUAAUACUUUAAAAUAUUUUUAUUUUGGGCCUAUAUGACUAGUUUUUUUUGAACGAAUUAAAUUUAACCUUUUCCGUAUUUAAAAAAAUUAUUUUAAAAAAUAAAUAUAGAAAUUAAUUAAAAGCCACAAAUGGAAAAAGAAUAAUAUUUUACCUUUUUUCAUAUUUUUUAUUAUUAUCAUUAUUAUUCUUUUUUCAUUUUGUAAAGGUACUUCAAUAAAAUAUAGAUAUAAAAAAAAGAAAGGAAAAUCAAAGAACAAAAGAAAAAUGCUACUGGAGCUAUAUACAUGAAAGAAAAGAAAAAAUGAAGGAAAAAAAUGAAAAAGGAGUAAGGAUGAGAAAAAUGAAAUGAAAGAAAAAAAAAUGUCACUGGAGUCGUGUACAUGAAAGAAAAAGAAAAAAAUGUAGAAAAAGACGAAGGAGUAAAGAUGAGGCAAAAAUAAAUGAAAGGAAAAGAUGAAGGAGUAAGGAUGAGAAAAAAAAAAGAUGAAGACAAAUAAAAAUGAAAAAAAAGACGAGAUGGUGUGGUUUUUAAUUUGAAAAUUUGAUCUUGAUGACAUUAUCGUAAUUUACGUAUGAUGGCAUGUCUUGUAAUUUGUUGAACUAACAUGUCUAAUUUUAGAAAACUAUCAAUUAAUUUAGGUCCAUUAAGUCAUUUCAACACUUUAUUUUUAAUUUAUUUUUCAAUGACUAGUAAUACAUUAACUACUUUUUUUCAUUUUCCAAUGAUUAGUUAUACAUUAACCAUUUCUUUUUAACCUCACAAUGUCGUUAUAGGAAUAUUCUGUUAAGGUAGGGGUACUUUCGUACUUUUAUGAGUCAACGACGGUCAAUGAUUAAAAAUAAUGAGUUUUAAGGAUAACUUGAUAUUUUUAAUAGUAAAUGGGGCGAUUUAAAGAUUGUCACUUCACGAGAAGGGUAGACCGAAAUUUUUCCUUAUAUAAGUUUGUCUCUGCUUUUUCUUUCCAAGUCUCCCUCUAUUAGCUAGAAUUAAUCAUCUUAACCAAGAAUGGAAAUUGAUAUCCUUAAGUUCCAUUAGCUAGAAUAAUCUUAGUAUCUUACCCAACAACACGAAUUGAUGUCCUCAAGUUGGGCCAAUCUUGAAAAUGUAUAAUAAAGCCACAAAUGUUAUGAGCAGACAUGACAGAUUUAGAGAAAACUCGCCAGAUUGGUUCUCCUUGUCAGUGGCGGAUCUAAAAAAAUAAUUUACCGGGGCUAAAUUAGAUAAUAAUAAAAUAUAAAAAAUUAAAAUUUUGAAUAUAUAAAAUAUUUAUAAUUAGUCUCUACGCAUUUUUAUAUUUUAAAAAUGUUAUGCAAUAGACUCAUUAUCAAUAUUAUUAAAUUUAUUGUUUCUUAUAUAGACAACCAAACUAUCACUUAUCCCAUCCGAUUCCAAAGAUGAUCCUUCAUGAGUUUUAUUACUGAAAAUAUUUGUUCUACUAUUAUUAUAUAAACUGGAAGAAUUAACCAUAUUUUUUAGAAUAUAAAAUAUUUUGAAUAGUGAGCUAUCAUUAUUUUUAAUUAAAAUAUAUGUUUUUAUAUUUUUUAAAAGUCAAAGUUUAAAUUUUAUGGGUUUUACAUUUUAUAGUGACUAUUUUAAUAAAUUCAAUAGGGUAAUUAAAAAAUUAAAAUAUUUUUUCUUUUAUUUUUAAAAUUUUUUUUUGGCCAGUGGGGGCUCGAGCCCCCACUAGUCAUGUGCUGCAUCCGCCUCUGCUCCCUGUGCUGAUGAGCACAUGCCAAUUGGCUUUUGUCUUUUUGGUUAAGCGCUUUAAUUAAUCUGAUUAAUUCUAAGUUUUGGUUUAAGUUGGCAUUAAGCAACCCACCAGUGCAGCUGUACAAUUGAAGUCCACUUUGUUACAAUUAGCAAUUACUUGCAUCCACGAAGCAGAAUGUGUCUCUUGGCUUCGUGGCUCGUGCCAGCUUCUUUCAUUUUGUCUUUUUAAACAUGAAACCUAAUCUUUUUCUUUCGUAAAUUAUACAUUCUAUAACCCUUUUUUUCAAUGGCAACCACGUUCUUAUCUUGUGCAAAUUAACAUCUGAGCGUCUCCAUUUGAACCAAAUUGUCAGGUUAGAAAUUAGAACCGAUUCGGUUAAAAUGCAUGUCCCUUUGACUUUGCCGUAAAUCUCUUCAAAUUAUUAUGAAUUGAACUUACUAGCAUCACCCCACAAAAUUCGGAUAAUGUUAAAACGUUAAAAGGAACCCUUUCAUCCGAUUAUUUAUGUUAGCUUCAUAACUAACUUGAAUAUGCAAAAGCUGAAGACAAAUCUAAAACAGGCUGUUCGGAUCCUUUAACUGCCAAUGAAGAGGCGCCACGUAAGCCACAGCUACUCUAAAUUAGGGAUGGCAAUGGGGAGGGGAGGGGAGGGGAGGAGACCAAUCUCCCCAUACCCAUCCCCGAUAUUUUGCAUAUGUCCCCGUCCCCUCUCCGUCUCCGUCAGAAUUACUUGAGAAAAUCUCCAUUCCCUCCCCGAAUAAUAACAGAGGAUCCCCAAGGGUCCCCGGUCCCCGAAUAACUAAUAGUCUAAUAUAUUUUUUAUUUUAAAUUUUAAAUUAAUCAUAUUAAAAUAAAAAAUUCAAAUAAAAAUAAAGUUCAAAAUAUGUCUUACAUUAAUAUUGAUCCAUUACAAAGUCACAUUCAAAAUAUAAAUUAUUAAAAUAAUUAUCUUUGUCAAUGACUCAAUCUUCAUAAUCCUACAAUAAAAAGAAAAAAAAAUAUUUUUAUAUCGGCAAUAAAAUAAAUGAAAUAAAUGUAGAUACUUAAUUAAUAUUUUUAAUAAAACUAUUUACCUCCUGCUCGUCCUGCUCCUCCUGUUCUUCCUCGAGAAAUGUGGCAAAUUGAGAGAUAGCCUCAGAUUUCAAACCUAAAAUAAUGAAAAUGAUAUAAGUAAAGUAACUUAUAAGUACAAAUAUUAAUAACUAUAUAAUAUAAUCACAAUGUAAAAUAAACUCAUACUGUUAUUGUAAGCUCGUAACCAACUUUGACAGCACAUUAAGGCCUCCAAUGUGCUUGGACGAAGUUUGUUACGGUGUGGGCUCACAACUCUACCACCGGUGCUAAAAGCUGAUUCAGAAGCAACUGUUGUAAUUGGAAUUGCCAAAAUAUCUCUAGCAAUUCGAGCUAAUAUAGGAUACCUAUUAGCAUUUAAUGAUAUAAAUAUUUUGAUAUUUAUUGUUUUUAACAAUUUUAUAAUUUUGUUAUUUAUUUAUUAGUAAUUUUAAAAAUAAAAAUAAAAUUAAAAAUUAAAAUAGGGAAAUUGGUAGGGGAUGGGGAUUCCACCUCAUCCUCGUCCCCUCCCCGAAUAAAAAUUUGAGUAAAAAAUUUUUCUUGUCCCCUUCCCGAAUAAAAAAUUAGAUAUAAAAUUAUUCCCGUACUCUCUCCGAAUGAGAAAAAUCUCCGAUGAUACCUGUCUCUGUGAGAAUUUUUGCCAUCCCUACUCUAAAUUGCCUGGCAAAUGCAGUCUUCGAUUCCAAAGAGGUAGCCAACCAACUGACACCCACCUCGCCGCAAUUUCCCAUUCCAAUCCAAAACCAACCCAAUAAAAAAGGUCCCGCACAUUUAAAAAUCCACGUGUCAUAUAAUGAUUCGAUCGUUGCUUCCGUUGCAUAACUUUGCAUGUCACCCUUCACAGGGUACACUGUUAGGUCCCGCUUCCUCUUGGGUUUCAGUAACAUGUCAUGUAUAUAUAUAUACACACAUAUAUAAAACCCUACAUAAUUCUUCGACAUUAAUAAGAAUUAAAACCCAAAAACUCUAAUAAGUUGGCAAUGACAAACCCAGGAGAGAGAGCGGCGUCGGUGUCUGUUAGCGAAACGUCACCGUUAAACGAUGAAAUAGACCUUAUCGAAGAAUAUGGAGACGGGGGCUGCUCCUGUUUCGGGGGACUUUGCUUAGAUCGGCGGGGACAGGGGAGAUAUUUGUUGCAACAACAGGAAGAUGAGGAGGUAAUAAGAGAAAUAUGGUCAAGGGAAAGAGCGAAGAAAAUUAAGGAGUUUUCGGAAGUGGUGGCAGAGCCAAAGUGGAAGAGUAUUAUUAAAAGGUUAAGUCUUAAUAACAAGAAAAUAUCAGCAUCAAAGAUGCAGUUUCAUUAUGAUCCUCAAAGUUAUAAGCUUAAUUUUGAUGAUGGGAUUAAUGGGGAGUUUGAUGAUGGGCAUGUUGGCUUCUCGGCUAGAUAUGCUGGUCCUGUUGUGAUCAAUAACAAUAAUAAUUAAGGAUAACUGGGGAUGUGAUAUUGAGUCUUUGUUUGUUCUCCUUUUGUUGUGUAUUUCAUUCAUUAUACAUUCUACGUAUAUGUCGUUCAAUUAGAGUCGGUGAGUGUAAACCCCCAAAAUCAAAAGAGUUAUUAAGGAUUUCAUUCCUUUUUCCUGUGAACAGGAAUUAUUCAGUCAACGCAGUUGUUAUCUUUCUGCCCUCAAUUUGCACAAGCGUUUUAACUCCAUUAUACACAGUGUUUUAUUGUUUUUUUUUUUUCACUUCCCCACCUUUUUCUUAAUAUACUUCGAAGCAAAUAGGAAUCUCACUAAUCAUCAAGCAGUGAAAUAACUAAUCACUAAACAAUACAAUCGGCAAAAAUUGAAAAACGGGCCGAGCAUCAACUACUAACUAUUGAACUUCUUAUACCAUAAAUAAUGUUUGCAUAUUUAAUCUGCAUUACAGUACCAAAAAGGCUAUAAGGAACUAAACAAAAGAUUAUUGCACUGUACAACCUUGACCCUUCACUGUGCUUAUUCACAGAUAUGAUAAGCAAAAACAAAAAUUAUAAAUCCACCACCAAUAUGCGACAAUGGAUUAACUCAGUUACAGUCAUAUAAUUUCCCAAGUAUUCAUGUAGCUAAUCAUAUGGCGUAGAAUACGUGGCACCGUUUUACUUGCCUUUUAAGCAUAACUGCAAAAUGGUGUCAAUUGCGUUCAUAACAACCUCAUCAGCCUCCUUGUUUGCCAGUUUUGUUUUUCCUAGUUUCCAAAGCCGUUUCUGAAGCCCUAUCUGUCACAGUUUCUAUGUAAUAUGAGUAUGUUGAAUUUUAUCACCCUGGCAUUGAAGCAUUGGAUAGUCUUGCAUUUACAUGUAACGAUCACUGCUGUUUUCACCUGCAUUACUUCUUUUUGAAUAAUGGUUGGUUCAAGGCUCAACAGAAUUUAUGGAGACAAGAAAUAGGUUUAUUUGGAAUACCUCUUGCGUUUGCUUUUCAAGACUGUUGAAGUUGAAGGAUUACUGUGCCAGUUCCUCUUCCGCUGAUUGAUGAACCAAUUAUUGAUCUGUUUUAAUUGCAAACCGGUUUCCUGAACCAAUCUUGCCUUAUCUUCCUCCUGAAAUGUUGUUUGAUGAGUAGAAAAUAGAGAUAUGUGCUUUUGACUUGACUAAAUUUAAACUAGAAAGCAGCUUUUCCACUGAUUAAUAAAACUAUGGUCUUCCAUUUCUGUUUCAUUCUUCAAUUUCUUCGGCUUAAACGUGGAUAAGCAUCAUGGAAUGUCUUAACGGCAAGGACUUGAAUAAGAAUCUCAGGAGCAAUGUGACAGGACUUACAGUAGGGUAUGGCCACUUGGAAUGUGAUUGCCACCAAGAUUUGAGAACAGAGGUUGUGUCACCAGGAAGUUUUCCGGCCCUUCUCUUGCGCAGAAUUUCCUCUCUUAUGUCUACAAUUUUCUCCUUGUAACCCUAUAAGCAAGAGAAAAUGAGUGAUACAUUGUAGAUACAAGAUAAUUUCACAGCCAUAUUUGGUAUUUCAUUCAGUUCAUUACCUGUUUCAGUUCAUGUUUCAACUCUUGCCUCACGCGCUCCAUCAAGGACCUCUCACUCUCUGUUGGGAUAAGAGGACCGAAUCCCAUGGUGUCUGGCCCCUCCAAACUUCCAUCAAACAAGUUGGCAUCGCUGUCCACUUGGUCCUCAUCAUCAUCAGACAUUGUUGCGCCUGUACCUUCUCCGGGAGAAACUCCUGUAUCAUGAUACAGUAUGCAUAAUUAUUGAUCCCAUGUUUUGCAGCUCAAAUGAUCAUGGAUACCAUGAGGUAAUCAGAACAAGGCUAGAUUUUGACACAUGCAUGUCCUUUUCCCAUGAAACAAAAUAAAUAUAGUUCAACGAUCUUGAAAAUCUAAUAGAUAGUUAUUUACAAACAAUUUACCAACAAUUAUCCAUUUGCGGUGCACCAAAACAUUAACUGGGAGCAUGGUGCCUAGUUCUUUUGAUAUCUACUAUCAUCUACUAGGUUAGUAGCCAGGCCAAGACUUUUCUACUGCCAAAAAAUAAGUUCUUUGAUAUGAAGGCAAACCUAAUUUGUUACAUCAGAUGUGAAAAUAAUUUGCUUCUCAUUUCAGUUAUCAGUCCUAAACAAAUCAAAUCGUGCCAGAAAAUCAGUAAUAUAUUCUGAAAAACUUUUAAUAGCAGUAAUUUCUCUCCAAUUAUUUGAUACGAUCUCACCGGUUUCAAGAAUGCAAGGAAAUAAAAGUAACAAAUAGAUUAAGAGAAACAUCUGAGUGUUAAUAGUCAUGCCAUGAAUCCAUGAAUGAUGAAUUGUAUGACCGCUAGUUGCCAACUGUGAAAAUUCCAGCAAAGUGUGGAAGAAGAUUCAUGCUCCCAUGAAAACAUGAUUCAUAUGCACAUGAAAUAUUAGCUGGAACUUGAAAUAUUGAAAUAGUAAUAAUGUAUAUCAGGGGUUACCUGUCAAGCUUUGCAAAGAUUGCUCAAUCUCCCAGCAAGCCAUCACUGCUUCCAUCGCAUGGACCCGAACAUGUUGCUGCAGUUGUUCUUUAAAUGAACAAAGAAGCAGAACAUAGUGUGUCUACAAUGUCAAGAACAGGAAAAAUUAGAAUUUUGAUUAUAUCAUUGAACAAGCAUCAUUUUUUAAGAUGAUAUUCAGGUUUAUCUGUCAAUUCUAAACUAGCAAAUAAGACAUUUAGUGAAAUAUACGAAUACGGGAGCUGUUCUAUCCAAAGGUAUUUGUUUUUUGGUAAUUUUUUAAUAUUACAAAUCAUAUGAUCCAUAUAUAAUCAUGAUUGACUAGAUUGAAACUAUACGAGAACAAACAAAAUUAUCAUGCAUGAAUCAUCAACUUCUGCGCUUCCUUUCCGUUUAUAUAAAUCAUAUUCCUACCAUGAUCAUUUUUCCCUCUUAACAAUUUCAUCCAGACAUGUUGUUUCUUGUUCAAGUUCUUCCCUGAGUUAAGCAUUUCUAGUAUACAAAAUUCGUAAGAAACUACGGUCAUGGAGUUUCCAAAGGCACAUAGAAGAUAUUAGCCCAAAAUAUAUGGAAACUUGACUCAAACACAAAGAAAGAAAAAUGGUUGAUAAUAAGUCUCCUGCUACUUCCUCUGUUUAAUUUAAUUUCUUGCUGUUGCCAACCAUCACUAAUUCAGCUUGCAAAGCAGUUGGUAUCCAAAGCUGCCACCAUCAGCACUUGAAGACACCAUAGACCAAAUCAACUUUCAAUCAAGUAUCUUAUCAUUUGCAAUAAAAGGAAAUGCUCUCUGACUUUGUAGCUUCCACCAAAUUCUUUAUAUUUCCACUAGAAUUACAACUUCUCACGUCUCAAAAUCCUACCGUCCAUUUCAAAAUUUUGCCAUCUCCAAACAAAACCCUUGCUCAUUCUGCUUCAAAUUUACAAUUUAACUUGUACUCAAAGAUUCAAAACUUAUCAUUGUAACCAAUCAUCUCGUCCUCAAGUAAUCAACCAUACCAGUAAUACCCAAAAAUCACCCAAAUUGAGGGGGAAAAAACAUUUUUUUUUUUUUCGGAUAUGUAUAAUGCCUCGAAUUAGUCAUCGGAUAUGUAUAAUGCCUCGAAUUAGUCAAUAGCAAGCGCAAUAAAUUCCUCUGUGAAUUUAAAAUUCAAGUUUCUAAUAAGACAAGAAAGCAAGGCAAGUAAACAAAAUGGAAAAGAAAUUAAAUUUAAAAUCGAUAACAACUUAAUGGAAGUAGAAUACACAGCACAUACCAUGAACUGAUCGAGCUCUUUGUCAUCAGUAACCAAGCCUUGACCGGCACCUAAAGCGGAGUACUUAGAGACGACGUGCUGCGACUGAGCAAGCUGAGCGUCAAUCCUCGGCAGCUGAUCCACCGGCGUGGCGAUCCUCAAGCAAGCCACGUGUGCCGAGAGCAGCUGCUCGUACAGCGGAUGCGACAAUAUCUCCGCCUUGUACCUCGCAUUCUGCCAGUUGACAACUCCGUCGGCGCCGCUCUCGACCACCACCCCUUCGCUCUUGUUAUUAGUACUGGCGUUGUUCAUGUUCUCGCUGUUGGCGUUCUUCAAAUCGGCGGAUUCGACGGCCGCGAUGAUGGAGUCGUUGGCAGGCGUGACGUCGUCGAUGACGUCACUGUGGUUGCGGUGGAGGAGAGAGGAGGACGUGCGGGAGAGCCAUUGGUUCGGCGUCUGCGAAGCGUCGGAAUCGGAGGCAGUGUUGUUGUUGUUGCUGUUGUUGUUGUUUGCUGUGGUGCGUAGGUUAAGGAAAUUGGUGUCGGAGAAGUGAGCCGCCUGUUGCUGCGCCUGUUGUGAGCGAAGAAGCGCAGAGUUAAGCCAAUUAGGCGCUGUCGUUUCGAUGCUUUGUUGGUGUUGGUGGUGUUGUUGCUGUGGAGGUGACGGUGGUUGUUGUUGUUGCUGUUGUUGUUGGUCGGUGAAGUGAUGAAGAGGAAGGUCUUGCGAGAGGUGAUUGUGGUGAAACGCCAUGUGCGUGCUGUUGCUGUUGACUUGCUGUCCUCGUUGCUGUUGCUGAUGUGUGUGUGUGUAUUUCUGUCUAUCUAUCUAUCUAUCUGUCUAUAGCCGUCUAUAUCUGUCUAAGUAUCUAUAGGUGUCUAUGCGUUGCCGUUUUGCAGGAGAGAGAGAGAGAGAGAGCUGGGGAGGUUGGGAAAUUACGACGAGUUCGUACUGAAACAAGAUUUAUUUGCGAGGAAGAAGCGAGGAGGGCCACAGAGAGCUUGGUUUUGUUUUACACUGAAAUGAAAAGAGAGAGAGAGAGAGAGAGAGAGAGUGUGUGUCCGGCUAUCCGCAGAGAGAUACAAGAGAGAGUGAGAGAUAAUAUGGGUUACUAUAAACGUACAGGAAGGGUAGGGAGAGAGGGUGGGGGGACCAAGAGGGGGAAGGUUUUCUCACAAGGAAACUAACUAGCUGUGCUGUAUAUAUUAUCAGAAGGCAGCUCAAAGUAUUAUAAAUACGUUAUAUCCAAUUAAACCAAAGUACUAUAUAUAUUACAUUAUGACUAAUAAAUAAAUAUCUGAGUGAUUUUUAAACCAAAUUUAUUUAACCGCCCAGUUGGGGCUCGUGCCUUGAAAAGUAGGGACUAAAAAAAUUAAUUUGAAUAUUAGACUAUAGAUGUGGUAAUUUUCUUUUUUGAUAUUAUGGUUACUGAGUGAUAAUUUACUUCUAUAGUAAUGGUAACUUUCUUUUCUUGAUAUUACGGUUACUAAUAUGCAAAAAGUUGUUUGGAUUUAUGGCCAGUUCAGUAAUUUUAUAAAUAAUUGUUGUUGGUUGUAUUGUAAAAAUAAUCAGCUAUUAAGAAAUCAGUCCAACGAUUAGCAAAAUUUUUUUUUUAAAGUAUUAUAAGUUUUAAAAAUAAUUGUGUGUGUUUAAAAAUAUUGAUGUUAGACUAUUGUAACAAUAUAAAUGAUUGAAUUAAAUAUGUGUUGAAUAAAAUUUAUUUAUAAAUUUAUAAACAUGUAUAUAUAUAUAUAUAAUAUUUUUAAUUGCGUACAUAUAAUAACUUAGAACUAAAAUAAAUAUUUCAUAUUAUUAAUUUUGUAUUUUUAUUUUGUUAUCUAAAUAUAAUUAGUAGUACUAGUAAUAAUAAUCUUUUUAAAGUUAAUAUUUUUAUUUCCUAAUUAAUAAGGAUAAAUUUGAACUUUAUAAUAUAUAUGAAAUUAUAUUAAGUUUAAAAAUAAUUUUCAGAAUUGAAUUUUAAAAAGUUACCCAUUCCUUACUUUUUAAAAUUUAUUAUAAAAUGUGGUAAUUUUGAUAAAAAGUAAUUUUUAAAAUUUUUUAUCAAAUAUUAAAAUUAAUUUUUAAUUUUUUUUAAAAUUACUUUUGAAUCUUUUAAAAGUAAUUUCAAUCAGACACUUAGAAUGGAACGAUACAGUUACUCAAGUCGAUCAAAGUUACUUUUUAACUUUCACCAAUGCUCACGGUAAUUAUAACCUCUGCCAAUAAAAGUGAACAUCAAUUGAUUUGGAUAGCUGGUAAAUGACUUUGCUCAUCUUAUUACGCACACAGAGAUACACAAUCGAUGUAAUAAUAUAACAUCUUGCGAAUGGAAAUGAUAAGACAACUACAUGAGCACUUGAGCAGCAGUGUUCUUUUACUAAAUUAAAUUAUUUGUUUUACUUUAUAAUGUUUAAAAUAAUAUUUUUUUAAUUAAUUAAUUGAUUAUGUGGGAGCCGAAAGUUUUGUCAACUGGCGUCGACCGUUGAUGGGCCUUCGGUUGAUGCUAAGUUGAUUGAGGAUGAUCGGACGGCCGAGGAUUGUAAUCGUGGCAAAUACUGUUGGCUUAAUGUUGAGAUAUAGUUGGAGGAGAUGGAAACGACUACUCUUGAGGUUAUAAUUGGACCAAGCGUACGUAUACGUAAGGUGCCGUACUAUUAAAGCAUCAGUUAUCCCACCUAUAUUUUGUGCGUGGAUUUAUUGAUUUUCUGAAUUUAUUUUAUUUUUUUAAAAAAAAAAAACACGUCUCCAUUAGUCCCAUUUUUUUCGAUAAUAUUAUUGUUUUAAAAAAAAUUAUUUUAAGCGUCGAUCAGGAGUUUUAAAAUAUAUAUUUACGAAUCUAGCAAUUUGCCUUUAGCCUUUUACCGAUUACAAUCGCCUAAUAAUUUCUGGUUAAAUGAUAUCAUACGAGUUAGAUUAGUUGAGUUUCUGACUUUGGUGUUAAGCAAUUCCUGCCAAGCAAAGGGACGUGUAACUGUGAAGAUCGAUCAAGACUCAAAAGUUAAUAAACUGUGAUGCAAAAAGAUCAUUAUAGGGUAAAGGGGAGCAUCUAAUUGAAGGAAAUUCCGUACAAUGCAUGUUACAUGUAAGCACUUUUGCGGAGAAAAAAGUACACAAAUCACAAUUAUACUGUAAGUCUGUAUAAAUCUAUUAACGUAGUAUAGUACCUGGUAGUAUAGUAGUAGUCCUCGAAGCUUGGAGCGUGCUUUCCACGUCAUAAAACAUAGCGUGGCAAUUUGACAGUUUAAAAAAGUCCAACAUCAAGACAAACGAUCUCGAUUGAUCGAUCAGAUGGGAGGGGCAAAAAAGAGACCGGAUACCGGCUACAACCGGUAGACACAGCGAUAAAGAGAGAGGAGAAGGGGUAGGGGACCAUAAAUUACGUCGUUUCUCUCUCUCCGCUUCUCGCGGGAAAACGACCCCUUGACACGCGUCGAAGCAUCCUCGCUUGGACCACAACUGGACCCAAAACGUAAGCAUGCGCCCGAGAGGAUACCAUCAGAGCCGUCCACGUGGACUAGUAGAGCGGAUGUAGGACCCGCUCAGAAUUUUGACUUCUCUGACAGCCGCCGGCUUAAUCAAUGCAAACUGUAGCUGGUCCCCUAGGCCGAAUGGAGCCCAAACUUGAGAAAUUGAAAAACUAAAAAAAUAAUAAUAAUAAUAAAAUAAAUAAAUUGGUGGGCCCACUUUGAGAGAGUGUACUGUCUGGUGUUUAUUGCGAGCUUGCAUCUCCUUAUUGGCCUAAAUGGUCCCCUACCUACUUUGUUUUUUUUUUAAAAAAAAAAUUUAAGUUUAUUUUUUAUAUUAAUUUGCAUUAUUUUUAUUAUUUCUCAAAUUAUGUGAGCUGCCGUCAGGAUAACGGCAGAGGGGAAAUAUCAGAUUCGGUGUCGUUUUUACACGGUCUUUUUGCGGUGGGGUUUAUGUACUCCUUAAUUUAAACUUCACUAAUUUGGCUAGCCCGGUUGUAUUUAUUUGUACCCCUGUUUCUUAAUAUGCAAAUAUUUGACUUUUCUUUGCGAUUUAACUAAUUAGGUCUUUGUUUGACUUUAAAUUACAAAAAAUCGAACCCUAUGUCAAGAUCAUUGUUUUGAAUGGUACCUACUUAAAUCAAUUGUUAUUUUUUUCAUCAUCUGAAAGUGAAUUUCGUGUGACUUAUCAAUUUAUUGAGAGACUUAAGUAGAAAUUUGACAAACAUAUCCUAUUAAUCAGUCAAGAUAAGAAUUAAGAUAAAUAAAAUACAAAAAUUAGACGGUGACAGAUAUUGAACAAAUUGUACAUUCACAAUAAAUCUCGAGUAUUGUUGAAAAUUCUAUACAAUCAUCUUUAUUCUUAACAAAUUGGACUUGUCGUAAUUUAUGUCCUAGAACAUGUAAUUUGUGUACUGAACUUUCAUUAGUUGCUUCGGUUUUGAAAUGGGAGAUAUCAUCUUUAGUUCAUGCAAAACAUCUAUAUCAUGGAGAUUGAGUGCAUAAAAUCCGUACAUAGAAUUUAAAUCAAAUUUUUAGUUACUAUCUCCCUCAAGAGUCGAAUUCAGGUGGUUAAAAAAAAACUGUUUGAAAACUACUCGUUUAAGUUCUAAAGACAAGUUUAAAGCAUCUUAUAAUAUUCUCAAAUCGAGAAAAAAAAAAUUUAGUACAUUUCAUGUCGCAUUCUUCUAUUAUCUAGAUAAUGACAGUACAGAUAUGAAGCAAUAUAACCUCUCCAAAUUAUCCCACCAUUUACACACGUCAUUAUCGAAAACUAAACUCACCAAGAUCAUCCUUUACAAACAUAAUUAUUUAGUGGGCAAACACUUUUUGGAGAUUAUAGCAAAUAAUCUUACCAAAUUUUAGUAUCCCUAAUUUGUCUCAUCUCGUUAAUGUUCUCGGUGCGAGUUUAAAAAGAAAUGUGAGCUUAUGAAUGGAAAUAAUAAUAUCAUGCUUACAAUGUUGAAAAAUGGAAGUUUAUAUCAUAAUUGAUGGAGCACUCACAUUCACAUACAAUUUACCGUAUGCGAGGUAAAUUGUCAGUAUGACAAGUUAUGAUAACGUCACACCGAAAGGCAUGUGUAAAUGUUAAAUAAUGUUUGACGACGUGCGGGUUAGAAAUUUUUAAUGCGUAUUAAUAAUUUGGAGCACUAGAUUGUCGCCGAAUUUCUUAAUUUCGGUCGGCACGGAUUGAAGAGCUGGCAAAGUUUGACACCUAACCCAAGUGUCUGGUCCCGCAAAGCGUGAAUGAACAGAACGAGCUGGACAUUUUCGAUUCAUCGGGAUUGGAAGUUAAACGUCUCUUGUCAUCACUCAAAUUUGUCAACCGCCCUUUCGCCAUGCGUUUUUUUUUUUCCCACCAAUUUCCAGGUUUUUUUUAUUUAAUUUAAUUUUCAAAAUUUGCUGUAACUUUUUUUUAAUCAGUUCGUCCUUUCUAAAAAGAAAUGCCAAUCACGUGCCGCUUCGCAAGACAGGACGUGACCGAUGCUUUGGCCUUAUUAUGCAAAGCCGAUGAUGCCAUGCAAGAGCAUUUGUAGGGAUCACGCUGGGGAUCACGCUACGGUGUAAUUAUGGUACUGUAUUAUAAUUAUAUCUAAUCGUUAGAUGUAGUUAGAUUAGUAGAGUCUAUUGAUAUUCAAUAGCUAGAUGUAACUGUGGCACGGUGCCACAGUUGCACCUAAAGUUUGCCCCAUUUGUAGAUAUAUAAUAUAUUUUUGAUUACGAUAUUAACAACAAAAAGAGAAAUUGGAAAUAUAAUAAAAAAACAAACAAAAAGAGAAAUUGGAGGUAUAAUAAAAAACUAGAGACUUUUAACGAAAGAUUAGUAGGUUAUAUUCAAUAGCGAUGAAUUGUAGAAAUACUCUUAUAAAAGAUUACACAGUUCACACGCACACACAAACAAAGAUAGCUACAUUAUUGAGGAUAGUUUAUCUAGUAUCAAAAUAAUUUAAAAAAUAAUAAUAACGUAAAACAUGUGGUGUUCGUGAGGUUAGGCAUUAGAUGAGUGUUAAAGAUAAAUUAUUUUGUAGAAUUCCUCUGUGAGAAUUAUAUUACAAACUUGUAGAAUUAAGAUUCCAUUGAAACCAAUCAUGGUAAGUGGAGUGGCAUGAAAAAAGAACUACUUCGCAAUCCCUUUUCUUUUCUUUUUCUUUUUUAUAAUUUAUGUGCUAAUUUUCGUACUUUUUUCCCACUACAAAUUUAAUUCAUUAUUCCCUAAUCAAUUUUUAGUUCCUACCUCUUGUAGGAUUUGCCUAAAAAUCACUUGAGUAUGUCUCUAUUCUUUUUAUUUAAUUGAUUUUUACAAAAGGUAGAGGAGUGGACAAAAGUCCAAAUUAAUUUUGUAACCCCUACCUCCCUAAAAUAUGUUGUUUAAGAUCUCUUAAACAACUUCCUCGUGAUCUUUAUUUUAACCAUUUAUAACAAAUUUACCAUGCUUCUUUUAUUUAAAAAAAAAAAUAUGGGGUGUCAAUUGUUUAAAACACAUCGGAUUCUUCAUAACAAUUGCUUUUUUAGGUCCUGUUUGGUGUUGAGUUACUAUAAUUUUUAAAUUAUGGUUGUUGUGAAAAAAAUAUUUAUAAAAUAAAAGUUAAUAAUAUGGUAAUAAAUAUGAUCUUUUAAAUAAUAAUUUAAAAAAAGUAAAGAUAUUAUAAAAUUAUCAUUAAAUUAAUGAUAAAUUAAAUCAAUUUUAACUUAUAAGCUACAAUAUUUAGUAUUUACUAAAUAUUUUAGUAUUGUUCUUAUUAAGUUACAAUUAGGUUAUGUUUGGAAGUUAGGAUUAAGUGUGGGAUUAGAUUAGCUUUGGGAUUACAUAUUCUAUCCUAUGUUUGGCAACUUUGCUUGGAUUGGAUUACGGCGGACUAAAUUUAAAUUUAGUUCUUAAAUCAUGAGAUUAACAAUCCUAAUUUAUAAGUGCGUUUAGGUUGAAUUAGAAUAAGAGAAACAAUUUAUUCAUUUGCAAUAUUCCUUUCAUAUAAAAAACUAUUUUUUAUUUAUCACUUAAAAUUUAAUUAAUUAAUUAUUUUAUUCAUGAUUUAGUUGAAAUUUAUUUUUUAUUUUGCUUCUAUAGUCUAAUUAAAUUGGUACUUUUACUCCAAUAAAAUUAACUAUUUAAUAAUUUAUUACAAUAAUUGAUUGUAUUAAAUUUAAUAUUACUAAUGUACUAUUAAACAUAAUCAUGAAAAUUAAUAAUACAAGUAAUUAAUUGAUUUUAUAUAUAUUAUUUGCUAAUUUUUUUAUUAAAAAAUCUAAAAUAUCUGAUAAAAAUUAAUUAAAUAACUAAAUAGCUUUAUUAAUGUAUAUUAUUUUAUUAUAAUUAUGACUAUCCAAUAAUUAAUUUACUAUAUAUUUAAUGUUCUAAUUAAUUACCUUUAAAUUAAUUUUAUUAUCACUCUUAAACAUUUAUAAAUAUUUUUUAUAUUUAAAUAUGAUUUAAUAUUGUUCAAUCCGAUAUUGUACUAAACAUAACAUAAUAUUAUAUAAAUAUCAUCUAUUUGAGAGAGUGUAAUUCAAGCGAUUCGAAGAAGAUAAUAGGAGCGUGAACUCCGAAAGAACAAUCUAAGAGAACAGUUAGUAGUAUAUGGUUAACUAAUGGACACGUGGCCAACCAAAAACCUGAGAAAUCGGUGAGACCGGGUCUAGUUUACGUAGGGCAUCCGCCAUCUAUUUAUCCGAAACGUGCAAUACGCGGAGGUGUCCCCAUCGCCCAAUGAGGUCGCGCCAUUCAAUCACUUUCGGACAAAAGCCGAGUGGGGCCAACGCGUUUUACACGAAGCAGCAAUACGAACCGCAAUGGUGUCCUAAUCGAUAACCCACCAAUUUAUAAUAAAAUAUAAAUUAAGUUUUGAUUAGUUUUGUCUUAAGUUGGGUAGUAGGUUGAUUAAAAUCAUUAUAAUAAUAAAAAAAUGAUAUUUGUGGUGGGUUGGGAUUAAUUGCUUAUUAAUGCAAGUCGGACCCACAUCAUAAUAAUAUGCAAAUACAAAGCGAUAUGGAAAAGGUCAUGGGUGAGGUUUUGUUUUGUCUGUGUCUUUGUCUUUAGCUUUAGGUAGCAAGCUGAUAAUGUAAUUUAACAUAUAAUAUUAAAGAAAUUAUUAUAUUAUGUUACAUUUUUCACCUUUGGAUUGUGAGUGACAUUUGCUUCACAAAAGUUGUUUGUUCUCCUUUGUUGAAGCAUUCACUAAUGCGCCCAUCUGUGACCAUCUUUUCCUUUCAAGAAAAUUAUGUGCCAGCUUAUGUUUCUGCAUACCUGGUACUAAAAAUCUCUUGUACCCAUAAAUAAAGAAUUAAGAAAAACAAAUUUUGGGGGGGAGAGAGAAAGAGAAAGAGUGCUCAUGCAAUAAACAAUGACCUUUAUAAGCUUGAUAAGGAAGCUUGUUUGGUGUAAUCUCACCUUUUUUUUUAGCUGAAUUUUUCAAUAGUCCCCACUAGUACUGAGUCACUGUCAAGAACUUUCUACCCAUGGUUGUUUUUUUUUUUUUUGGGUCUUUUUGUUUAGUUAAAAAAAACAAAAAAAAAAUCUUUUUAAAUUGAAGAAAUUCAAUAUUCAGAAAUGAUGUGUUGAGUAAUUAUGCACGUAACGCGAUAUUAGAUAUUGUCGCUCACACGGUACGAAUUAGGCAGUCCUCUGAAUAAUCAUAAAUUUCUCAUGCUUUUCUCUCAAUAAUUAAGCUAACAUAUUCAAACACACAAGGGGAGAGAAAAGAAGCAUGGGUCCACACUCACACGUUAUAAAUGUUGGUAAGUAUAAAAAUUUUCUACCAUAUAAAAGGUACAUUUGGAAUCUUGAUCCUUGAAAAAGCAAACACUGAGUAUCACAAUUUAAUUAUAGUAUACUGUAUCAAGCACUAGUUUUAAAUAGUGUGAUAAAGAGUUGUUAAAAUGAGUCAACGGGUCGUAUUUGUAUUUAUAUUUGUGUUGUGUUAAUUUCAUAUCGUGUUAAAUUUAAAUCGAUCCAAACAUUAUUUAAAGUUUAAAUUUUUUAUAAUUUAUACUAUUAAAGUUUUAAAUUUAUUUAAAAUUAUAUAAAUAAAAUAUUGUGCAUAUGUCCGUCUUCCCAAAAAAAUAAAAAAAGUAAUUAUGUCUAAUAUUUGUAUUUUAAUAAUAAGAAUCUAAAAAAAUAAUUUAAAAUAGAAAAUAUAAUUAUUGUGCCAUGUUCGGGUAAAUGGAUUAAGAACUUUAAUCAUAACCUAACACGAAAAAAAAAUCGUGUCAACCCGAAUCCAAUUCAUUUAAUAAUCGUGUCAAAUUUGACUAUCCAUAUCUAUUUAUUUGUGUAGUGUUCGUGUCGCGUAAUCAGAUCGUGUUAAAUUUUAUCAGGUCUAGUGUAAUAGUGGGCGUCCAUCUAAUUAAAAUAAUAAAAUUUUUCAUGUUGAAAAUAAAAGAUUUAAGAUUUAAAAUCUGCUCAAAUCAAUCGAAAAGGGGUUAAAUGUGUGACAGAACUUUUAAUAACGUGAACAAUACGAUCACAUGCAGCCUAAAUCGUGAAGAAUGAAUAGAGUACUAUCCAUCCAAGACAAGAUUUGAUGGACGGUGAAUUUCUCUGUGGCUAUAUUUCUCAAUAUGACAACAUAAUCUAUUAUAGAUUAGAGAUC
rnacentral:lncRNA from 1 species